CUCUACGAUUGAUUGUCCACGGAGACAGAUGGUCUGCGUCUCAUUGGGAAAAAACUAAUUUCCCUCAAUGGGGAACAUUGAACAGUUAGAGAAAGGAAGUCUAUGCAAUACCCUUUCACAGUGUGAAGAACCUAAGUAUCUGAUGAAAUGAGGGACCAUACAUGGGAAAAAUGUGUGAGCCUGCCCCCCCACUAUCAGUAAGGAAG